rnacentral:tRNA from 1 species
GGGGAUGUAGCUCAGUUGGUAGAGCGCCUGCUUUGCAAGCAGGAUGUCGCAGGUUCGACCCCUGUCAUCUCCACCA